GCUGGGCUGGAGAGAUCUUUUGGGAAAGGAGUGGUGAGGGACUGGAGGAGAGGAGAGGGAGUUAGGGAUGAGAUGGAGUUGGGGAGGAGGUAUUAGUGGAGAGACCAGUGCUGGGGUAGGGUGAGAAUGGGGAGGUGACAACAUUUGGCAGGAUGCAAAAGGAUCAGGUCAGGAAGCUGGAUAAGGGGUGAAUGGGGAGGAGACUGCAAAAAAAGUGAGGCAGACUGGACAAAUGGGUGGUAAUUAAUAGAAGAGAGAGGGCAUGGGGAGAAAGGUGAGUUUUAGAGGCAAGAGGCAGUAAGGGUGGAUGUUAGAGGCUGGAAAAGGGAUAGGAAUGGAGGGACUUAGCGACUGCAAAAAAAGUCAGGGAGGGGCUUAGAGGGCAGAAAAGGGCGUGGAAAUGGGAGAGGAAGGGAAAGAUUAAGAAAGGGAGUAUUGAAGGGGAAGAGAAGUAGCAGUGAAGACACCUGGAGAGGAGAAGAGACUCGGAGGUGGAGGGAGUGCAUCUACUGCAGGGAAGCCACAGCUGUCCUGGAAAAUGGCACACAGGACCUGGCAGCAACCAGAAACUGAAGCAACAAGUGCCAUUGAUCAUAUGACAAGAGCCCUGACUGACCUCGAUCCGACAGUGGGUGACCCAUCACAGAACUCGGAGCUCUAAAAGGUACUAGUACAGAUAAAAAGCAAAGAAAGUAUUCUGAAGCAAAUCCUGGACAUCACCCAAUACUUACCAUUUGCCCAGAUCAGUGGUGUAAGAAGAGAACACUGCCAUUAAUGUGGACUCGAGCAUUCUAGUCAUUGUUGUGCAAUUGAAUAUACUAAUCAAACAAGCACUUCACUUUCAGUCACCUUGUACUGUUUGUGGUUGCUGAGAUGGCAAGUUUUAAGCAUGGAAAUUUGGAACUGGACCUCCAAGAGCACAUAGCAACAGUGAUGAAGGGCACUGAGAAAGGAGCUGAGCAAUUCUCUGGGACUUCUGGCAGUACAUGAUGGCAGUGAGGAAGGGCAGCUGGAGAAGACAAAUGGACUCUCAUUAGAAAAAGAUGCCCGAAACACAGAGGGAGUUAAUGGGAAGUGAGAGGAGACAGACAAAUGGAAUUCCUCAGCUCAAUAUAACCCAGAUAUUCAUGCUAUGACUGUUGUGUAGAUAGUUCUAGUUUAUUCUAAUUUAUCAUCCUGUUUAUAAUGGCCUGAGGCAGUAGAAUAAGAAUCCUUGCCUCAUGAUCUUUGUGCUGUCUGUGUUCUCAAGUCUUACAUUAUGGCACUGUUGAAAGAAGACAGAAGGAGGACUUUAAUCAACCGAAAAUAAGAAGAAAAGCAACCUAGUCAGCUGGAAUUUGAAAGCCAGUAUGCCAUCGCAAAUCAACCAGGUCCACAGUCUUAUUAAGUGUCAAUUCCUUUAUGCUCACUUUGAUAAACUUUGUGAAAUUCUAUGAAACUUGUGAAACCAUCAGCCUAUAAUUAAACCCCAAAUUUUACAGUAAGAGUGUCAAUAAAGAGAUUGAAGUUCCUUUUCACAGCAA